rnacentral:lncRNA from 10 species
CCAUGUUGACCAGGCUGGUCUCGAACUCCUGACCUCAAGUGAGCUGCCCGCCUUGGCCUCCCAAAGUGCUGGGAUUUCAGGCAUGACUUGAUAUCUUUUACUGAGAUUUUUUUUCUCUGGUUUAGCCUUUCAUUAAGACAUUAUUUAUCUUUGGGUUUAUAGGCUUUCUCUGGGAUUUAAGAGAUGAAGAAAAGCUUGAAUCCAGAGAGCUAAGUGACCACUGAAAGACACCUUUGAUUCGUCUUUGGCCUGGAACGAUUUUCCUUACUUUCUUGACAGCAUAGCCACGUAUUUAUUUUAAAUUAUUAAAAUAUAUUUUAAACCAGCAUUUUAAGUGUUUUACAAUGGGAGGGCUUUCCCAAUAUCUAGUCUACCAUGUUGUGGAUAUGGAAGACCAUGACUCAUUUUUCAUUCCUUCUCUCAAUCUCCCCCAUCCUCUCCCUUAUAAUCAACUCCCCUUUGCCCAUUAUUUUAGUUCUCCCCCAACCUACACUUCCUUAAGCGAACUCCCUCGGAGGUGCCUUGGCCCUGGUAAAUUUCUUGCUCACUGCUACUUUCAUGGAGGCUGAUCUCAUGGAACUGUGGACUGUGCUCACUCAACCUACCCAAGCAGGGUUGGGAUUUUGUACACUCACGGUCCCCUACCACAGCAGCAUAAGAUCAUGCAUCAUUUUAUAUAUAUAUGUAUAUAUGGCAAAUUCUACUAUUUUAGAAAUUAAAGGCCUUGUGUUUUCCAAGUGGCCCCUUCUUUCAGCUACCUUACUUUUCCCACUCUAUUUAUCUCAAAACAAAGGUUCUUAUUUCUCUCUGCCUUUUCUCACAUGAACAUUUGCGCCAGUUAUUACAAAUACAUUAAGCAGGACAGCCUAACUGCACAUUCUCCAUUCACUUUACCCAUCUUAUGAUACAAUUUUUCAAGGAGCACAAUGCAUUAUAACAGUGUCCAUAUUGAGGCCGGGUGCAGUGGCUCACCCCUGUAAUCCCAGCACGUUGCGAGGCCAAGGCGGGAGGAUCAUUUGAGGUCAGGAGUUCAAGACCAGCCAGGCCAACAUGGUGUAACCCCUUCUCCACUAAAAAUACAAAAAUUACCCAGGUGUGGUGGCACGUGCCGGUAAUCCCAGCUACUUGGGAAGCUGAAGCACAAGAAUCAUUUGAAC